UACGUAGGGUGCGAGCGUUAAUCGGAAUUACUGGGCGUAAAGCGUGCGCAGGCGGCGCGUUAAGACAGGUGUGCAAAGCCCCGAGCUUUAACUUGGGAAUUGCGCUUGUGACUGGCGUGCUGGAGUGUGGCAGAGGGAGGUGGAAUUCCACGUGUAGCAGUGAAAUGCGUAGAGAUGUGGAGGAACACCGAUGCGAAGGCAGCCUCCUGGGCCAGCACUGACGCUGAGGUGCGAAAGCGUGGGGAGCAAACAGG
rnacentral:rRNA from 1 species